rnacentral:rRNA from 1 species
GACGAACCGUCCAAACGUUAUUCGGAAUUACUGGGCUUAAAGGGUGCGUAGGCGGCGCGGAAAGUUGGGUGUGAAAUCCCUUCGGCUCAACCGAGGAAUUGCGCCCAAAACUACCGUGCUCGAGGGAGACAGAGGUGAGCGGAACUGAUGGUGGAGCGGUGAAAUGCGUUGAUAUCAUCAGGAACACCGGUGGCGAAAGCGGCUCACUGGGUCUUUUCUGACGCUGAGGCGCGAAAGCUAGGGGAGCAAACGGG